rnacentral:rRNA from 1 species
GACGAACCGUGCGAACGUUAUUCGGAAUCAUUGGGCUUAAAGGGCGCGUAGGCGACCUUCUAAGUCGGACGUGAAAUCCCUCGGCUUAACCGAGGAACUGCGUCCGAUACUGAAAGGCUUGAAUCCGGGAGAGGGAUGUGGAAUUCCAGGUGUAGCGGUGAAAUGCGUAGAUAUCUGGAGGAACACCGGUGGCGAAGGCGGCAUCCUGGACCGGCAUUGACGCUGAGGCGCGAAAGCUAGGGGAGCAAACGGG